rnacentral:lncRNA from 1 species
GGAUGCUGUGGAUGUGAAAACUGCUUGCCCCAUCUUGUUCGGAGUGAUGCAGCUGGUUAAAGAAACCACAUCUGUUCAAGCUGGCAUGAGGACUGUUCUCAGGAGGAGCGAGAUGCAAAGUUCAAGGGAACUGCCUGUGAAGACACACGGUGACGGCGCUGGGUUAUAUAAUGUGCCUUGGUGUGAGGAAGCUCUUUGUUCUAUUUACAAAUCCUUGUAUUACUGACAAGGAAACUUUGAUGGCUGCCUUCCAAAGACAACAAUGAAGAAAGAAAGAAAGGUGUGGGACUAAGAAACAAAAGGUGACACCAAAAUGUCAUCUUUCCUGAUGAUUUGGAGCCAUUUGACUAUCUCUAAAAGCUCUGAGCAGAUCAGGGAGAAAGUCCUCCAAAAUGUUGAGAAGUCCUGUUUUUGUCACAGUAGAGAUGGGAAAGAUUCCAGACUCUCCAAGAUGUUGGCAAAAUGGUGGAAGCUUUUCCAGCUCAGUUCAAGCUGCAACUUUCCCCAAGUCCCACAUCUGUUCUGUUGCAGAGCCACAUACUUAACCCUGGUUUUCUGUAUAGAAAAUUAUGUAAAUAAACCCAUUUGAGUUUGAAACUAUUACUGCCUAAUCACCUGGUGGAGAAAGGGCAAAGCUGGUAGCCAGAAACUGGAGACCCAGCAGCCAUGUCCUCUCCUUUUGACUUCAUUGUCCUCUGUUUACAAGCUGGUAUGUCAGAUUGGUCACAGCUCUCAAUUCUCAAGGCAGUUGUUUUCUGAAGCAAAUAUUUCUCUUUACAUGAUUUUCUUUGUAUAUAUCUUUAAUAUAAACCAAAUUCAUCUCUUGCUUCUUCAUUAAAUCAUUUAGGACCUCUGUAGGAGACAGGUAGGUGUGUUGAAGGAAUUAAUGGAGGACACCUCCAGAGCCAGCAAAUCCAGAGCUUUGCUGUUGCAUAGGGCACUGCCUGAUGGCACCAUGGGAUUUGGGCUACCUAGUCCUCUGGAAACAUCCACCUCAAGGUGCUUGUCUUUGCCAUUACCAACUGCACAGCUUUUGGUUUCUUAAACUCUUCUCAUCAAUCCUGUUCUUUGCUCAAGUCUGCCCAAAGGCUCAGAAAGGGAAGUGGAAAUGUUCAGGGGUCAAGCAGAGAAAUCAAGUUUUUUUCAGAUGAAAACUAUCAAGGAGAGCAUGUGCUACCUCUGAGCAGGGAGGCCAGAGGGUCACUGGCUUAUUUUGCAGUCUUGCCAAAAAACUCCUCUUGGAUCUGUUGUUCAAUGCAGCUCCGACUGAUUUUCAUCCAGAACAGCUCUUCAUAUUUUAAUUUUUGUUUUCUUUUUCCUUUUUGUUUUUUCAUUGUGAAUUAUUUAUCCUAUGUUUCACCGAGGGAGUGUAAUAUUCUCAUCUUCUCCCUUCCUAAUAUUUAAGAUCUCUCUAGGUGCCUCCAUAAUACACCCAUAUUUCCUGAUUGAAGGAGUUACAGACAAAAUCCACAGUUGGCAUUUUUAGCUUGCAGAGAUAAUAUUUCUGUGGCUGUAUAUAUUUCUAUGUUCUGUAACUCUGUUUACUUUAGUGGAAGAGCCCUUAAGAUUGACGAAUAAAAAAACAUAUUUAAAAUAUGUAUUUUGCA